GGGGAAGGGCAGAGUAAGGCAGUGAAGACCAGGUGAGUUCUUCGGAGGACUCAUAAUCCCUUGGUCGUGGGUUCGAGUCCCACCCGCCCCA
rnacentral:tRNA from 1 species